GUCGUCAGGAUGAACGCUGGCGGCGUGCCUAAUACAUGCAAGUCGAACGAGGUAGCAAUACCUAGUGGCGAACGGGUGAGUAACACGUAGGUAACCUGCCCUUAAGAUUGGGAUACCCAGAGGAAACUUUGGCUAAUACCGGAUAACAACUUGGAGCGCAUGCUCUAAGCUUAAAAGGCCCAUUUGGGUCACUUAAGGAUGGACCUGCGGCGCAUUAGCUAGUUGGUGAGAUAACAGCCCACCAAGGCGAGGAUGCGUAGCCGAACUGAGAGGUUGAUCGGCCACAUUGGAACUGAGACACGGUCCAAACUCCUACGGGAGGCAGCAGUAAGGAGUUUUCGGCAAUGGGGGAAACCCUGACCGAGCAACGCCGCGUGAGUGAUGACGGCCCUAAUGGGUUGUAAAGCUCUGUUGUAAGCCAAGAAUGAUAGCGCUAGGAAAUGAGCGUUAUUUGACGGUAGCUUACCAGAAAGCCACGGCUAACUACGUGCCAGCCGCUGC
rnacentral:rRNA from 1 species